CCUACGGGUGGCAGCAGUGGGGAAUAUUGCACAAUGGGGGAAACCCUGAUGCAGCGACGCCGCGUGAGGGAUGAAGUAUUUCGGUAUGUAAAGCUCUAUCAGCAGGGAAGAAAAUGACGGUACGUGAUUAAGUAGCCCCGGCUAAAUACGUGCCAGCAGCCGCGGUAAUCCGGAGGGGGGACGCGUUAUCCGGAUUUACUGGGGGUAAAGGGGGCGUAGUCGGCAGUACAAGUCUGGAGGGAAAUGCCGGGGCUUAACCCCGGAACUGCUUUGGAAACUGUGCAGCUAGAGUGCAGGAGAGGUAAGUGGAAUGCCUGGUGUAGCGGUGAAAUGCGUAGAUAUUAGGAGGAACACCAGUGGCGAAGGCGGCAUACCGGACUGUAACUGACGUUGAGGCACGAAAGCGUGGGUAGCGAACAGGAUUAGAUACCCUUGUAGUC
rnacentral:rRNA from 1 species